GUUGGCUGUGGAGACCGAGUUCCCCCACCUCGCCAAAAAGGCUGCAAAAGUGCUCAUUCCCUUCGCCUCCGCCUACCUGUGUGAGUGCUCAUUCUGUUCC